rnacentral:rRNA from 1 species
CAGUCGCCGCGGGAAUACCAGCACCUCGAGUGGUCAGGAGGUUUAUUGGGCCUAAAGCAUCCGUAGCCGGUUGCAUAAGUUUUCGGUUAAAUCUAUGCGCUUAACGUAUAGGCCGCCGAAAAUACUGUGCAGCUAGGGAGUGGGAGAGGUACACGGUACUCGAUAGGAAGGGGUAAAAUCCUUUGAUCUAUUGAUGACCACCUGUGGCGAAGGCGGUGUACCAGAACACGUUCGACGGUGAUGGAUGAAAGCUGGGGGAGCAAACCGGAUUAGAUACCCGCGUAGUCCCUGUCUCUUAUAC